GCCGCGGCCGCAGAGUUUGAUCCUGGCUCAGGACGAACGCUGGCGGCGUGCCUAACACAUGCAAGUCGAGCGGAGAAUGCAAGAUGUUUACAUUGAGCAUUCUUAGCGGCGGACGGGUGAGUAACACGUGGGUAACCUGCCUCAGAGUGGGGGAUAGCCUUUCGAAAGGAAGAUUAAUACCGCAUAAGCUUGUAGCAUCGCAUGGUGCAGCAAGAAAAGGAGCAAUCCGCUCUGAGAUGGACCCGCGGCGCAUUAGCUAGUUGGUGAGGUAACGGCUCACCAAGGCCACGAUGCGUAGCCGACCUGAGAGGGUGAUCGGCCACAUUGGAACUGAGACACGGUCCAGACUCCUACGGGAGGCAGCAGUGGGGAAUAUUGCACAAUGGGCGAAAGCCUGAUGCAGUAACGCCGCGUGAGUGAUGAAGGCUUUCGAGUCGUAAAGCUCUUUGAUCAGGGAUGAUAAUGACAGUACCUGAAGAACAAGCCACGGCUAACUACGUGCCAGCAGCCGCGGUAAUACGUAGGUGGCGAGCGUUGUCCGGAAUUACUGGGCGUAAAGGAUGCGUAGGUGGAUAUUUAAGUGGGAUGUGAAAUCCCCGGGCUCAACCCGGGAACUGCAUUCCAAACUGGAUAUCUAGAGUGCAGGAGAGGAAAGCGGAAUUCCUAGUGUAGCGGUGAAAUGCGUAGAUAUUAGAGGAACACCAGUGGCGAACGCGGCUUUCUGGACUGUAACUGACACUGAGGCAUGAAAGCGUGGGUAGCAAACAGGAUUAGAUACCCUGAUAGUCCACG
rnacentral:rRNA from 1 species